rnacentral:rRNA from 1 species
GACGUAGGGGGCAAGCGUUGUUCGGAAUUAUUGGGCGUAAAGAGCUCGUAGGCGGUGUGUCGCGUCGGCCGUGAAAACCUGGGGCUCAACUCUGGGCGUGCGGUCGAUACGGGCAUCACUUGAGUUCGGCAGGGGAGACUGGAAUUCCUGGUGUAGCGGUGAAAUGCGCAGAUAUCAGGAAGAACACCCGUGGCGAAGGCGGCUCUCUGGAACGCAACUGACGCUGAGACGCGAAAGCGUGGGGAGCAAACAGG